ensembl:snoRNA small nucleolar RNA SNORD101
GUUUUGAAUGAUGACUCUCAACAAUGUCGGAUACCCCUUCACUCUUUUUAUGAGUGAUAAAAAUAGUCUGACAAAC